UACGAAGGGUGCAAGCGUUACUCGGAAUUACUGGGCGUAAAGCGUGCGUAGGUGGUUCGUUAAGUCUGAUGUGAAGACCGCUGGGCUCAACCUGGGAAUGGCAUUGGAAACUGGCGAUCUAGAGUGCGGUAGAGGGUAGUGGAAUUCCCGGUGUAGCAGUGAAAUGCGUAGAGAUCGGGAGGAACAUCUGUGGCGAAGGCGACUGCCUGGACCAGCACUGACACUGAGGCACGAAAGCGUGGGGAGCAAACAGG
rnacentral:rRNA from 1 species